rnacentral:rRNA from 1 species
UACGUAGGUGACAAGCGUUGUCCGGAUUUACUGGGCGUAAAGAGCGCGCAGGCGGUCGUUCAAGUCGAGUGUGAAAGCCCCCGGCUCAACUGGGGAGGGUCAUUCGAUACUGAUCGACUCGAAGGCAGGAGAGGGAAGUGGAAUUCCCGGUGUAGUGGUGAAAUGCGUAGAUAUCGGGAGGAACACCGGUGGCGAAGGCGGCUCUCUGGACCGGUACUGACGCUGAGGCACGAAAGCCAGGGGAGCAAACGGG